rnacentral:miRNA from 1 species
CAUAAACUAUAUUUAACCACUAU